AAUGCAGCCAACAGCGAAAAAACGUUGAAUGCAUCAGUUUCCAAUGGAUCACUGAGUUUAAACAACGUUGCGCGUGAUUUUUAUCUGGAUGGGUGACUAUCUGGACAAUCGUGUGCUUGCGUUU
rnacentral:rRNA from 1 species